UACGUAGGGUGCGAGCGUUGUCCGGAAUUACUGGGCGUAAAGAGCACGUAGGCGGUUGAGCAAGUCCAUUGUGAAAUCCCCCGGCUUAACCGGGGAACUGCAUUGGAUACUACUUGACUUGAGUACAGGAGGGGAGAGUGGAAUUCCAGGUGGAGCGGUGAAAUGCGUAGAUAUCAGGAAGAACACCCGUGGCGAAGGCGGCUCUCUGGGACGGUACUGACGCUGAGACGCGAAAGCGUGGGGAGCGAACAGG
rnacentral:rRNA from 1 species